AUUGAACGCUGGCGGCAGGCCUAACACAUGCAAGUCGAACGAGUGGCGGACGGGUGAGUAAUGUCUGGGAAACUGCCCGAUGGAGGGGGAUAACUACUGGAAACAGUAGCUAAUACCGCAUACCAUCGGAUGUGCCCAGAUGGGAUUAGCUAGUAGGUGGGGUAACGGCUCCCCUAGGCGACGAGCCCUAGCUGGUCUGAGAGGAUGACCAGCCACACUGGAACGGAGACACAGUCCAGACUCCUACGGGAGGCAGCAGUGGGGAAUAUUGCACAAUGGGCGCAAGCCGGAUGCAGCCAUGCCGCGUGUAUGAAGAAGGUCUUCGGAUUGUAAAGUACUUUCAGCUAGGAGGCGUUACUCGCAGAAUAAGCACCGGCUAACUCCGUGCCAGCAGCCGCGGUAAUAC
rnacentral:rRNA from 1 species